rnacentral:ncRNA from 1 species
UGAGUAUUUUGAGCAAAAGUUUUAUUUUGGCUUGAAAGUUAAUUAAUGUGAUUUUUGUAUAUAUAAAUUGUAGUAUUUUUAGUUUCUUGAGGAAAUUAAAUGUUUAUUUGUAGUAUGGAGUAUUAAAUUUUAACGUAAGUUAGAUUUAGAAAUUUAAUUUAGUACAAACAAAAUUUGUGCCAGCAGUAGCGGUUAUACAAAUUGUGCUAAUUAAUUUUUUUAGGUUCAAUUAAGAGUUAAUUUAAAAGCUUGAAGAAGGGAUUUUUAGGUGAAAUUUAAUUUUUUUAUUAAGUUUUUUUUUGUUUCUGAAGUUGGAAAAUUUAUAUUUAGACUAGGAUUAGAUACCCUAUUAUUAUAAAUGUUAAAUUUAAAACCUAGAUUAUUAAAAGUUAUGGUCUUUAAAAUUAAAAAAUUUGGCGGUAUUUUAGUCUGUUCAGAGGAACCUGUUUUUUUAUUGAUAAUCCACGAUAAUUUUUACUUUAACUUUAAGUUUAUAUAUCGUUGUUUAUAAAGAUUUUAUGAGAAUUAUAAUUUUUUUGAUUUUUUAUUAUAAAGUAUUUCAGAUCAAGGUGUAGUUUAUGUUAAAGAUAAAAUGGGUUACAUUGUAUUUAUAUUUGGUUUUUAAGUUUAAAAUUUAAAAUAAAUUGGAUUUGAUAGUAAGUUUUUUAUUUUUGGAAAUUGAUUUAGCUCUAAAAUAUGCACAUAUCGCCCGUCGCUUUCAUUAUAAGGUGAAAUAAGUCGUAACAAAGUAGGCUUAUUGGAAAAUGAGCCUGGAAUUAGC